UGUAUACGGCGCAGACAAAUGGAACAC
rnacentral:piRNA from 1 species